rnacentral:ncRNA from 1 species
CCGUAUACCCGAAUCCGGAGCGGAUGCUAGGUUCACUUCCGCAGGGAACACCGGUGCGAAUCCGGGGCUGUCCCGCAACUGUCACCGAGUAGCAGACCUUCAUCCGAUGGCCACGACCUCCCUGGGUUGGAAGGCCGAAGGCGAGUGUUGAUCCGGGAGCCAGGACACCUGCACCGUAGUCAGGACCGAG